AAGGUUUUAAGUUAAAUAAACUAAUAGCCUUCAAAGCUAUCAAUAUAAGGUACUCUUUUAAGCCUUA
rnacentral:tRNA from 1 species